AUUGAACGCUGGCGGCAGGCCUAACACAUGCAAGUCGAGCGAGUGGCGGACGGGUGAGUAAUGUAUGGGGAUCUGCCCGAUAGAGGGGGAUAACUACUGGAAACGGUGGCUAAUACCGCAUACUAUCGGAUGAACCCAUAUGGGAGUAGCUAGUUGGUGGGGUAAAGGCUCACCUAGGCGACGAUCCCUAGCUGGUCUGCGAGGAUGAUCAUCCAACCUGUAACUGAGACACGGCCCAGACUCCUACGGGAGGCAGCAGUGGGGAAUAUUGCACAAUGGGCGCAAGCCUUAUGCAGCCAUGCCGCGUGUAUGAAGAAGGCCUUCGGGUUGUAAAGUACUUUCAGCGGGGAGGCGUUACCCGCAGAAGAAGCACCGGCUAACUCCGUGCCAGCAGCCGCGGUAAUUC
rnacentral:rRNA from 1 species